ensembl:misc_RNA
CUGCCUUAGACAAAGGAUACACCCGGAGCCCCACCACACCUAAAGCCACGCUUUGAAGGAUCUGCCAAGCUCACUUUUAAUCAUGAGAAAGAAAUUACCCACAUGGAGUCAGCAGAAAAUGAGAAAGUAGAGCUCGUGCUGCGAAUAAUUCCAGCAAGUGCCAAGGGGCUAGUUGAGGAAUGGCUUCAUGAGG